CCUACGGGUGGCAGCAGUGAGGAAUAUUGGUCAAUGGGCGAGAGCCUGAACCAGCCAAGUCGCGUGAAGGAUGACGGCCCUACGGGUUGUAAACUUCUUUUGUCAGGGAGCAAUUGAGUCCACGUGUGGGCUUAGCGAGAGUACCUGAAGAAAAAGCAUCGGCUAACGCCGUCCCAGCAGCCGCGGUAAUACGGGGGAUGCGAGUGUUUUCCGGUUUUUUUGGGUUUAAAGGUUGCGUAGGCGGAAUAUCAGGUCAGCGGUAAAAAUUCGGGGCUAAACCCCGUCGUGCCGUUGAUACUGAUGUUCUUGAGUGGGCGAGAAGUAGGCGGAAUGCGUGGUGUAGCGGUGAAAUGCAUAGAUAUCACGCAGAACUCCGAUUGCGAAGGCAGCAUACCGGCGCCCAACUGACGCUGAAGCACGAAAGCGUGGGUAUCGAACAGGAUUAGAGACCCGAGUAGUC
rnacentral:rRNA from 1 species